GCCGGAAGUGGACUCAUUUUCCACCGGAAGGAGGGAGAAAUUAUGACCGAGAGCCUGACACCUGAUGCUAGCGGCUUUUGUCUCGCCAAGUUGACCCAGUAUUUGGCCACCUUGUGCGGCGGGUGACUAUGGUGUCCAGGUAUAUAUAUGUAUUACCUGAAAGCCCAGGGCAGUUGUUGCCUUGGGUCAUGCAGAGAAUAUGCAGCCACACCCAUGCCUUAGAUGUGUGUAAUUCAAGUGGAGAAGACACAAGCCAGUGGUCGCAAUAUCAACACUUGAGUGUUCUGUAAACGGUGAGUGUGAGAGGUGGGAGUCAGCCAGUGCGUCUCAGAGGUGAUUUAGAGCCAUCAGGAGGACAGGAGGAGCUGCGCUGUAGGUGUUAGGGAUCUCCUAGUUGAUGGCUUAUACAGUGUACAUGGUAAUAAGACAGUACGGAGUCUUACACUUUUCCCAGUGUGCCGGCCUUGUUUUCACUUCCUGUUUCGCUCUUGCUGCUUCUCUCCCCUUAGAUUAAUGUUUGCCAUGUGCAAGGAAAUGGCAGAGGCAAAAUGCUGGCGGCUUAUGGAAAAAUAAUUUAUAAAAAAAUGAUGGGUUAGUUCUGCCAAAUUUGAGUAAGUGAGAACACGAGAAACCAUAUUCUGUUAGAGCUUGAGAAAAGGAAGGAAAGUCAAACGGUGAGUCUAACCUCAUUUAUUCCAGGAUUGGUGUCAGCAGAAAACCAACAGUGAUGUGGUGGCACACAGUGAACUGACAGGACCCAGGCAGCAGCGGUUCUUUUGGUGGCAAUGGUGCCAUGUCAUGGGUACUCUCCUUGCUGAUGGCAGAUACCGACAGGCAAACUGUUGCCUUGCGUUUAGCUCUGUUAACCAUUGACAGUAAGAUUUAUCAGAGGUUGCAGCUGCACAUGGCCAUGAGGUAAACCUUGCCCCUGUUUGAAAUUGAGUUUCAUCAGCUUCUACAUGGGAUUAUAAGGACUUGGAAUAUAUCACAGACCCAGCAGGGUUUCCCCCCUCAUUUUUUUUUUUUAAGAUUUAUUUUUCUUCCUAAAGAUAACAUGCUUAAACAAAGUUCUUUAUGGUUAGUAACUGUGAUGCUUGAAGUUGGUUAUCCCUUACUCCAGUAAAUUUUAAAUGUCAAAGAUAUCUUGUUAAAUAAAAAAAAAACUAUCAAAAUUU
rnacentral:lncRNA from 1 species